GCCGGGCAUGGUGGCACGUGCCUGUAGUUCCAGCUACUUGGGAAGUUGAGGCUGGAGGAUCUCUUGAGCCCAGGAGUUCUGGGCUGUAGUGCACUAUGCCAAUUGUGUGUCCACACUAAGUUUGGCAUCAAUAUGGUGACCUCCCAGAGCGGGGUACCACCAGGUUGCCUAAGGAGGGGUGAACCAGCCCAGGUAGGAAACGGAGCAGGUCAAAACUCCUGUGCUGAUCAGUAGUGGGAUCGCACCUGUGAAUAGCCACUGCACUCCAGCGUGGGCAAUAUAGCGAGACCCUGUCUCU
rnacentral:SRP_RNA from 1 species